GACGUAGGGCGCGAGCGUUGUCCGGAUUUAUUGGGCGUAAAGAGCUCGUAGGCGGCUUGUCGCGUCGACUGUGAAAACUUGGGGCUCAACCCCAAGCUUGCAGUCGAUACGGGCAGGCUAGAGUUCGGUAGGGGAGACUGGAAUUCCUGGUGUAGCGGUGAAAUGCGCAGAUAUCAGGAGGAACACCGGUGGCGAAGGCGGGUCUCUGGGCCGAUACUGACGCUGAGGAGCGAAAGCCAGGGGAGCGAACGGG
rnacentral:rRNA from 1 species